rnacentral:lncRNA from 1 species
GUAGGCAGGGAGUUUCAUCAUUGAGCAGACCCCUUCCUUUGGGCUUUUAAGGCAACUUGGAGUUUUUCAAGAGGAGGAGGAAGGGAAGGGAUGGGGGGAGCAGCCGCAGCCAGCCAUGCCGCCCCUAAUUCCUCCCGCCAGGAGCCCGAUCGGAUGCCUCUGGAGCAAUCUCCUGUUAGUUAGAUACAGCCCUCUCCUCAGCUUGCCUCGGGGGAGGAGCCUUUGACCGACGGCUCAUUGCCCUUUGUGCGUUUCUACUUCCAAGCCGCCCUUCUUCAUUCAGAAGGAGAAGCGCUUGGGAGACAUGCAGCCCCAAGCAGCGCGGAGCUGGGGGACGAGACCGGAGCUGGCUGGGGCUAGUUCGUCCUUGCCCGGGGCUUUGCCGUGAAGGCUGGCAGCCGGCAGCGUGGGAGCGCGCCCGGACUUCGGAAGUCUCCUUGCAGCAAUGGUGGCUUUCUAGAAGUGACCUCCCCAAGAAAGGAAGGAAUUGUAUCCGUGUGGUUAUUUUCCUCCCGUCUCGUCCUGUCCUCUCUCCUCCCCUGCCGGUCCCAGGGUGAUGGUUCUCAGCUUCAGCCCUGAGCACUCUCCUACCUUGACAUUGUUCUCCUGCAUUAGGUGAUGUUAUCCAUUCGACAACAGCUGUUGAUCCGCUAGGGCAGCCUGUAGCUGUUUCUUCUCCCUGUCAUGAUGUCACAGUCCUGGAUACUGCUGAGCUGACUGCAUCCAGGACCUCCAGGGCAAAAGCAACCUGUGAGAACAUUGUUCCUGCAUCCUCUGAGGACUUACAUUUGGCUCCCACCCCAGCCAAUGAUGCAGAAUUAUCAGCUUCUCAAAGCCAACAUCUGAAGAAGGAUUUGAAAAGGUACUUUGCCAAGUGUGUCUUGGGAGUGGGCCUUUCAGCAGAACCUCACAGAACUGAGGAUGAAAAGAGGCUAAAGCAGAAAUUGUGUUUUCCUUUUUACCAAAUCAAGGCACAUCUCUGUGACCCUGGGCAGCAGGCACUAGGUUUUCUGGAUGUGAUGCUUAUUGUGGUAAAUACAGUCCCAGGCUUCAUCUGUUUUGGCUCAGAAUGUGUGAUAAUUGGGCUUUGCUCUGAGUCUCAUUUUCAUAAGAAGUACAAAUGAGUAGUAGAAAGAUGAAUAAAACCC